UGACGGGCCGCACAAGCGGUGGAGUAUGUGGUUUAAUUCGAUGCAACGCGAAGAACCUUACCUGGUCUUGACAUCCCGGAGACCCUUAGGAAACUAGGGGGUGCUUCCAUCUGGAAGAAUCUGGAGACAGGUGCUGCAUGGCUGUCGUCAGCUCGUGUCGUGAGAUGUUGGGUUAAGUCCCGCAACGAGCGCAACCCUUGCCUUUAGUUGCCAGCAGUUCGGCUGGGCACUCUAAAGGGACUGCCGGUGUUAAACCGGAGGAAGGUGGGGAUGACGUCAAGUCCUCAUGGCCUUUAUGACCAGGGCUACACACGUACUACAAUGGCCGAUACAAAGGGCAGCGACACUGCGAGGUGAAGCCAAUCCCGUAAAAUCGGUCUCAGUCCGGAUUGGAGUCUGCAACUCGACUCCAUGAAGUUGGAAUCGCUAGUAAUCGUGGAUCAGCAUGCCACGGUGAAUACGUUCCCGGGCCUU
rnacentral:rRNA from 1 species